rnacentral:rRNA from 1 species
GCUUAGCCCUAAACCUUAAUAAUUUUAUAACAAAAAUAUUUGCCAGAGAACUACUAGCCAACGCUUAAAACUCAAAGGACUUGGCGGUACUUUAUAUCCCUCUAGAGGAGCCUGUUCUAUAAUCGAUAAACCCCGCUAUACCUCACCAUCCCUUGCUAAUUCAGCCUAUAUACCGCCAUCUUCAGCAAACCCUAAAAAGGAACUAAAGUAAGCACAAGAACAAACAUAAAAACGUUAGGUCAAGGUGUAGCCAAUGAGAUGGGAAGAAAUGGGCUACAUUUUCUUUCAAAGAAUACUACGAAACCCUUUAUGAAACUAAAGGAGAAAGGCGGAUUUAGUAGUAAAUUAAGAAUAGAGAGCUUAAUUG